GUAUAUUUCAUUUCUAUAGGUACAAAAAGACCUGAUCCCAACAUUCUAAACAUGGUUGUGAAAAUAAAUGACAUAGACCUGGAGAUGCAAGGCAAAGCCGACUUCACAAAGAGGAAGCACAGCAGUCCCGACUCGGAAUAUUAAAAUCCACAAGGCUCCAGGGUCUACAAAAUGUGCACAAGUUGGAGAAAUAACAAAGAACAAGCGUGCACAUACCCCAAGGGGCCAGCAGACAGCCUGCUCAAGUUUUUAUUCAAUAAUGAUCCUUCCGCAGGUUCACCUACGGAAA
rnacentral:misc_RNA from 1 species